rnacentral:misc_RNA from 1 species
GAGAUAAUGGCAAAACUUUGGCCAGAUGAUUGGACAAAGAAAUCUCAUCCAAGGAAGUUGAGUGAGAUUUUAUGUUCAAUCAUUUUUGCAUUUUGAGAGAUUAUUCAUGCCCAGAAGAAAAGGGAAGAGUACAUUGUUUUCAGCACAUUGCAUGCUAUGGAAUUAGCAAAAGCCAUUCUAAUUCUAAUGAUUUUGACAACUUUCUUGUAUAAAGUUAACUGAAUUACACAAGCAAGUAAUAUGGGGAUGGAAAAGCCUUCAAUCCUGAUAAAUAUAUAAGCUACUCGCAAGAACUAGAACAAUUUUUUACAACAAGAUACAUCACGAUCAAGCAUCAUGUUUCACCGGUAAAAGUUUACCAGCUACAGAUUUCUCAGUGCUGUGGGGUGGGUGAAUGUGAAAACAUGUUUCAGUUACGGUCAGAACCUAACAGUGAUGAAGGUAACUUGUCGGUAUUCCUCCCUGAAGGCAAAGGCGAAACUCCAGUAGUUUGAAAUGAGGAAAAUGAUGAGGGAGCAGGCGCAGAAGCUGAAGCAGCAAAAGUUGAGAAAGCACUGCCAUUGCUGCUCAUGUUGAUGCUUGUGCCACCAGCUGAAACUUCAGUUAUUGCCUUUGGUGCUGGAGGCUUCUCAAUCUCUGUGAUUCCCUCAAGCAUUUGCACAACUCUUCCCAUCAUUGGCCUUUGAGAUGGUUGCUCUUGGAUACACCAAAAGCUCACCUGAAUUGCCCUCGUUGCUUGCUCCAUGUCCACAUCUUGAUCAACAAGCCUUUUGUCCACAAUGGCCUUCACGUUACCCUUCUCAAACUCUUCAUAAGCCCAAAGAGAGACCUUUUUUCGAUUUGGUUCAUCCAAGAUCUCAAAAUUUCUUCUUCCACUCACUAACUCCAGCAAAACCAUACCAUAACUGUAAACAUCAGAUUUGGAAGUUACAGGAAGAUUCGCAAGCCACUCUGGUGCCAAAUAUCCUCUUGUCCCUCUGACACUUCUGAGGGUCCGAUACCGAUGAUCUUUAGGAUUUAUGAGCUUCGCAAGACCAAAAUCUGACACCUUGGAAUUGUAAUUCUCAUCUAAGAGGAUGUUUUCUGGCUUGAUAUCACAAUGAACAAUGCAAUCUCGACACUCCUCAUGAAGAUAUGUGAUUCCUCUUGCAGUCCCAAGGGCAAUGUUAAAUCUAUGCUCCCAGUUCAACAAUUUCCCUGACUGCUCAUCUGUAUUGAAAAGGAAAUUAUCAAGCGAUCCAUUUUUCAUGAACUCAUAGACCAAGAGCCUAUGCCGUCCCUCAGAACAAAAUCCAAUCAAUCUCACCAAAUUCAAAUGGUGAGUACUACUUAUAGUAGCAACCUCCAUCCUGAACUGUUUCUCGCCCUGCUCAAUUCCCUCAAGUCGCUUUACUGCAACUACCGUUUUAUUAGCGAGAAUUCCUUUAUAAACGGCUCCAAAUCCUCCCGCUCCAAGCUUCUCCUUGAAUCCCUUUGUUGCACGAUUCAGGUCGUUAUAUGAGAACUGCACUGGUGCACCAGAUGCAUACUCAAGCAGUGCAUACUGUGCUGACAAACUGCCAAACUUGGGACUAUUUCUACAGCACCACCACCACAAACCACUCUCUAUAGCAACCAAACCAAC